UCUCCUGCUUUUUCCAGAAAAAUAAUAAAAACACCAAAGCACUUAAGCAGAAAUAAUCUUUAUUUUGAAAAUGUUUUUGGCAAGGCACUUGUUCUCUUCAGCCAUACCAAUGAUACUCAUUAAGUUGAUGUGGCUGAAGAGGGCAGAAAUCUUUCCAAAAACAUUUCCAAAAUAUUGUUCCUGCCUAAGUGCUGUGGUGUUUCUGUUUAUUAUUUUUAAUUUUAAGACAUUCUUUUUUGGCAUUACUUUAAUAUUCAGAUUGAGUCUACACUAGAGACAUCAAGAUAAUCUUGAUGAUGGCAUUGAUGUUAACACAGAGAAAAUAAAAGAUAAAAAUCAGUUAUUGAUUCAAUCUUCAAUAGCAGUUGAC
rnacentral:lncRNA from 1 species